CAGACUUAAAAAUCAAGCUACUACACCCAAUAUUAUAUCUUAAUCCAACAUCGAGGUCACAAUCUUUUUUAUCAAUAUGAACUUUCCAAAAAAAUUAUGCUGUUAUCCCUAAAGUAACUUAAUUUAUUAAUCAAUAAUAAAAGAUCAAAUAAUCAUAAAUUAAUGUUUUAAAAAUUAAAAGUUUUUUAAAUUUUAAUAUCUCCCCAAUAAAAUAUAAAUCAACAUUUAAAUAUAAAUAAUCUAUAUUAUAAAAACAUAAAUUUAUAUAAAGAUUUAUAGGGUCUUCUCGUCUAUUAAAUAAAUUUUAGCUUUUUUACUAAAAAAUAAAUUUCUACAAUAAUUUUAAUUGAAACAGUUAAUAUCUCGUCAAACCAUUCAUCCCAGCCUUCAAUUAAAAGACUAAUUAUUAUGCUACCUUUGCACAGUUAAAAUACUGCGGCCAUUCAAUACCUCAUUGGGCAGGUUAGACUUUAAAUUUUAUUCUUAAAGACAUGUUUUU
rnacentral:rRNA from 1 species